rnacentral:lncRNA from 1 species
ACUCUGUCUCAAACAAACAAACAAACAAAAAAAUUCACUUCUUUUAUUGCUCAGUAGUAUAAUUUUUUAGAAGAUUAAAAGUGACACAAGCUUACUGUCAAAAACUUUGAUAGUACAGAAAAAAAUUAAAAAAAAAACGAUCAACCACCCGUUAUCAAAGAAAUGUAUGUUAAAACAGGAAGAUACCAAUUUUCGCCUAACAGACUGUACAAAUGGGAAGGGACAGUGUGUAGCCGGCCUCCACAAUGGCCCCCCAGUGACUCCUGCCCGCUGGUAUUCACACCUGACCUGGGGAAUCGAUGGGUUACUGUGGAAAUGACAAUGACUUCUGAGCUGUGGUCAUAAGAGUCACUGCAGUUCCCAUCUGGCUCACUCUAGGGGAUGCCAGUGGCCAUGCUGUGAGGUCACUGAGGAAGCCUCUGGAGGAGGCAGCCCACACGAGGAGGAACGAGGCCUCCCACCAACAGCCACGUGGGCACACCAUCUUGGAUGUGGUUCCUCUAGCCUCAGUCAAGCCUUCAGAUGCCUGCAACCCCUGCCAGCAUCCUCACUGCAACUUGAUGAGUGAUCACCCAGCUAAGCCACUGCUGGAUUUGUAACCCACAGAAACUGGGAGCAGGGCAUCGCAUGGCCUCGACGGGGAUUACCCAUAGGAGAGAUGAGUUUUGCUGAGAACGCCUGAGUGAGCAUGGAGCAGAGCUCCGUGAGCACCUGCACCCAGCUGGGAGAAACCAGGAGCUCAUGAAGUGUCUGAGACAUUGGGUUAAAGCACACACAUUUAAAGAGACGAGGAAAAGAAAAGAGACGCAGCGUUCUCGUUCUCCUUCUCAGGAUUACGAAAGAGGCGACUGGGUUGGCACCCUAGGGAGGUUCCCACAUGCACUGCAGUGCCUGAGGCAGGCCAGUCUCACAGGAGCCUCUUAGGGAUCAACGAAAUGUGGUCUGCCUGUACUGUGGCAGAUUACUAGGACAUAAAAGGAAUGAAGUACUGAUCCAUGCUACAAUGUGGAUGAACCUUGGUAACACUGUGCUGAGCGAAAGCAGCCAAUCACAAAAGGCCACAUAUCGUAUGAUCCAAUUAUACAAAAUGUCCAGAACAGGGAAACCCAGGAAAGAAAGCAGAGAGGUGGGUGCCAGGAGCUGGGGGAGGCAGGAACAGAGAGUGACUGCUAAUUGGUAUGGGGUUUCCUUUCGGAAAAUGGAAAUGUUCUGGAACUAGGGGUGGUGGCUGCAUAACCUCUUGAAAAAUGCUAAAAACCACUGAGCUGCAGGCUUUAAAAGGGUAUUUCUGUGGUAUAUGAAUUAUAUGCUAAUUGGAAGAAAGGAGCUGGCUGGACGCAGUGGCUCAUGCCUAUAAUCCCAGCACUUUGGGAGGCCAAAGCAGGUGAAUUGCUUGAGCCCAGGAGUUCGAGACCAGCCUGAGCAACAUGGCAAAACUUCAUUUCUACAAAAAAACUUAAAAAAAAAAAUUAGCCGGACACAGUGGUGCAUGCCUGUGAUCCCAGCUACUCAGGAGGCUAAGGUGGGAGGAUCGCUUGAGCCUGGGAAGUCGAGGCUGCAGUGAGCCACGAUCGUGCCACUGCACUCCAGCCUAGGCAAUAGAGUGAGACCCUGUCAGAGGGGUGACCCUGGGGACGCAGAGCUGGAGCACGGAGCAGUCCCCUAAGUCUCCUUUCCCAUGAUGCAAUCCCUUCCCGUUCUCCACCCAGCAGCCAGGUCACCACGGGAUCACCCAGCCCUUGCUCAGAACCCUGAGGAUGGCCCACUCCCUCUCACACCUCCCCACACUCCUGGACUCACCACCGAGGCCCCCCAGCUCAGCCUUCCUGGCUGUUCCCCACAGACACAGAGCCUCCUCCAGCCCAGGGCCUUCUUCUGGCUGUUCCUUGUGCCUGGGAACAUGACUUCCGCAGAGGUGCGGGGAGGAGAUUCCAGGUACAGGGGUCAGCCAGAGGAAGGCUUCAUCAAGUUCCGUAGACUCCUCCAAACAGGCUUUCCCUGGCAGCCCUGUCUAAAACAGCCCUACACCCCACCCCAUCAUCCCUUUCCCAUCACAAUGCUUUACUUAUUCUUCCAAGCAUGUUUUCUUACUUAUUGUUAAACCACCACGCUUUGCCCCCCGGAACAUCAGCGUCUCCCAGGGCAGGCAGCUUGUCUCCUUGCAGAGGAGGCUUUUUUUUUUUUUUUUUUU